rnacentral:rRNA from 1 species
UCCCACGACUGCAAAACGCGAAGAACCUUACCAAGGCUUGACAUACACGAGAACGGGCCAGAAAUGGUCAACUCUUUGGACACUCGUGAACAGGUGGUGCAUGGUUGUCGUCAGCUCGUGUCGUGAGAUGUUGGGUUAAGUCCCGCAACGAGCGCAACCCUCGUUCUAUGUUGCCAGCACGUAAUGGUGGGAACUCAUGGGAUACUGCCGGGGUCAACUCGGAGGAAGGUGGGGAUGACGUCAAAUCAUCAUGCCCCUUAUGUCUUGGGCUUCACGCAUGCUACAAUGGCCGGUACAAUGGGCUGCGAUACCGUAAGGUGGAGCGAAUACCCAAAAAGCCGGUCCCAGUUCGGAUUGAGGUCUGCAACUCGACCUCAUGAAGUCGGAGUCGCUAGUAAUCGCAGAUCAGCAACGCUGCGGUGAAUACGUUCCGGGUCUUGUACACACCG